rnacentral:tRNA from 3 species
GAGGUUGUAGCUCAGUUGGUUAGAGCGUCGGAUUGUGGUUCCGAAGGCCGCGGGUUCGAGCCCCGUCUUCCUCCCCA